AGGAUAAACGCUGGCGGCGUGCCUAACACAUGCAAGUCGAACGUCCUACGCAAGUAGGGAGUGGCGGACGGGUGAGUAACACGUGGGCAAUCUACCUUUCGAUGAGGAAUACCGGCGAGAAAUCGCCGACAAUACCGCAUACGCUUCGCAAGAAGCAAAGUCGCAAGACGCCGGAGGAGGAGCCUGCGCCCGAUUAGCUGGUUGGUGAGGUAAGAGCUCACCAAGGCGACGAUCGGUA
rnacentral:rRNA from 1 species